rnacentral:lncRNA from 1 species
AUACAAGUCUGUCAUUAUUCCUAUUUUUGCCAUUGCCAUAAGUAUCUUCGUAAGUUUCAGUUUUGCUGCAAUGUAUGGAAUUGCUGUGGCUGCCCUUGGAAUGCUUAGUACUAUUGCUACUGGAUUGGCUAUUGAUGCCUAUGGACCUAUCAGUGACAAUGCUGGAGGCAUUGCUGAAAUGGCUGGAAUGAGCCAUCGUAUCCGCGAGAGAACUGAUGCACUGGAUGCUGCUGGCAACACAACUGCUGCCAUUGGCAAGGUAAUUUGAAGCUUUUAGAGUGGUUGCAUACAAUUCAGCCUAUAUUUUUGUUCAAAUGACUAUGGCGUUACAUCUAUGCUAAAAUAUAGAUUAGUAUCUAUAGCCAUGGUUAAAAAAUAUUCUAAUGUUAUUGAUUACUUCUUAUCCUCUGGUCAUUUUCAUCAUGAUUAUGAGCCCAAAGUUACACCUGAGUUGUGUUCUGUUCUUCCAUCACUAGGGAUUCGCCAUUGGAUCUGCUGCUCUGGUAUCUUUGGCCCUAUUCGGUGCCUUUGUCAGCAGAGCAGGAAUUUCAACUGUUGAUGUCUUGACUCCCAAGGUCUUUAUUGGACUCUUAGUUGGCGCCAUGCUCCCCUACUGGUUCUCUGCCAUGACCAUGAAGAGUGUAGGAAGUGCAGCUUUGAAGAUGGUUGAGGAAGUUCUCAGGCAGUUCAACACCAUUCCAGGACUCAUGGAGGGUCACGCCAAGCCUGAUUAUGCCACAUGCGUCAAGAUUUCCACUGAUGCAUCCAUCAAGGAUAUGAUUCCUCCAGGUGCCCUUGUCAUGCUUACACCACUCAUUGUCGGUACCUUCUUUGGUGUGGAAACUCUCUCAGGCGUUCUUGCAGGUGCUCUUGUUUCUGGUGUGCAGGUAAUAUCAGUUACUAAGACUGCAUUAUGUGAAGUUCAGUUGGAAGUAUUGUGUUCCAACAUUCCUGUCAAGUUUUCUGAAUCUUUGUUCUUUUGAAUUGUUUUUUCAGAUUGCAAUAUCAGCAUCAAACACGGGUGGUGCCUGGGAUAAUGCUAAGAAGUACAUUGAGGUAAAGAUUUUUGAACUGGAACAUUUUUGAGAGUGCUUUUUUCUUUUCUUUUUUUUUUCCUAUUAUGGAAUUGUCAUUGUGUUUCUUCAUUUGAUGAUGAAAUUCGCUGUCAAUUUCUUAUUUCAGGCCGGUGGAUCUGAGCAUGCUAGGACCUUGGGACCAAAGGACCAGCAUCUUCUUUUCCACUGUGUUCUCAUCUUCUCUUCUUUUGCCAAUGCAGGACCAUCUAAAGAUAGGUCCUCUAGCCACCCCCAGGAUAACCACCUCCUCGUCAUCAUUAACUUGCCACCGUGACCUUGGUUAGUCGCUCUGAUCUUAAUUUGUGUCGUGAUUGUAUAAUGUAUAACUGAUUUGUUCAUUCAAUAUUCAAUUUUUCAUAGAUAAGUAGUGUUAGAUUUUAAUCUAUGAAUUGAAGUCCUGAUAUUUUUGUACAAUUUGUUUACUUUCAUAACUUUGAGAUGAUGGUUAUACUGCUUUUUGUGGUAUUGAAAUCAUCCCUGCUUGUAUUUAUCUAGCUGUAGAAAUUCUGCGAAUUGAAUCACUUUUGCAUUGUUUGUGUAUUCUAUGAAUUGAAUUCUCCUAUGCUGAAUCAUCUUGUGCUGCCCUUGUUGUUGCUUCCAUUUCCUCAUUUGGAAUCGACCAUGACUUCACUGCCAUGUUGUAUCCCCUACUUGUCAGCUCUGUGGGCAUUCUCAUCUGUUUGAUUACUACUCUCUUUGCAACUGAUUUCUUUGAGAUCAAAGCCGUCAAGGAAAUUGAACCAGCAUUGAAAAAGCAGCUUAUCAUUUCUACAGCACUCAUGACUGUUGGAAUUGCAAUUAUUAGUUGGCUUGCUCUCCCAUCGACCUUCACUAUUUUCAACUUUGGAGCUCAGAAAGAAGUUAAGAGCUGGUACGUUAAGUUUGUUUUAAUGUUUUUUUAUGGGAAAAAAUUGUUUGUUGAAUUUCUUGGCCUGGUUUUGUAUAUACAUAGUAUUGCUUUAGAUUAUUCCAUUAAAACCUCGUGUCUCCGUUUCUUGAUUAUAUUCCCAUAUUUCAUUUAUUUUUGUUAUCUUGGAUUGUUGAUAACGUUUUUAAUAGAGUUGUUUUUACAUGGUUGACAUUUUCAGGCAGUUAUUCCUAUGUGUGGCCGUAGGACUCUGGGCUGGACUUAUUAUAGGGUUUGUCACGGAAUAUUAUACAAGCAAUGCUUACAGGUAGCUGAAUGCUGAGUUUCUGACGUGCCUUACUAUAUUUCAUUUAUAGAUAGAUGUGUAAUGCCCUUAACUUCCUUUUUGUGAUUGACUUUCAGCCCUGUACAAGAUGUUGCUGAUUCCUGCCGGACUGGAGCUGCAACCAAUGUCAUCUUUGGCCUUGCGCUAGGAUACAAGUCUGUCAUUAUUCCUAUUUUUGCCAUUGCCAUAAGUAUCUUCGUAAGUUUCAGUUUUGCUGCAAUGUAUGGAAUUGCUGUGGCUGCCCUUGGAAUGCUUAGUACUAUUGCUACUGGAUUGGCUAUUGAUGCCUAUGGACCUAUCAGUGACAAUGCUGGAGGCAUUGCUGAAAUGGCUGGAAUGAGCCAUCGUAUCCGCGAGAGAACUGAUGCACUUGAUGCUGCUGGCAACACAA